UGCGACUAAUUUCUUGUUUCUAUAAUGGUGGUACAAUAUAAAUCUUGCCAUCUGAAGCACCUUAAAGUUUGUACUAUGGUUAAAAUAAAAACUAUUGGUGGUAUACAAGUUCUAAAGUCUGUUGGUAUAAUUUUUAUGGUUAUAUUUUAGUUCUUUUUUAGGGCCAUUUAUAUCUUGGAUUUGCUUUACGUAUCUUGAUCCGUGUUGAGUAGCAACUCAGGGCUCUAGCACGUUUAAUUCCUCUAUAGUUUUGCAUAUAAAUUUUACUUCCAGAAGUGUUACUUUAUUUCUGACAUUAUUUAAUUUGUGUUAUUGUUUCAAUAUGACGGCCAAAGUGAAAGUGAAUAACAAGUUACGGAUUGUCUAUAACUCGCCUUCAACAAUAGGACAACAGUAGGACCUGCUGCAGAAAACUUAAACAGUGAAUUAUCCUACGAGUACGUUAUACCCAUGUGUAGUAGUCAAAAUACACUCUUAACAAACCAAACAAAAAUAUUGGAGCAACUUAACUCUAUCCAGAAUGUACAAACUACUAUGAUUCAGAAAAUAGCAUCAUUACCCGUUCAAUUAGACCAUGCUAUGGUGCAAAUUAAUAACCUUUCCCAAAACUUACAAGUCACACCAUUGAGCGCAUGCAAAUCUUCACCAAGUAAUACAGCUUUUUACAUCAAGCCAAUUGAAACUGUUCAACAAUUGGAUGAAUUAGAACUGGAAUUGUCAA